ACACGCCAGUGUCCGCACUCGGACCUAAUAAUAUAUAUUAUUAGGUCCGAGUGCGGACACUGGCGUGU
rfam:Saimiriine herpesvirus 1 strain MV 5-4, complete genome.